rnacentral:rRNA from 1 species
AUUGAACGCUGGCGGCAUGCCUUACACAUGCAAGUCGAACGGCAGCACGGGGGCAACCCUGGUGGCGAGUGGCGAACGGGUGAGUAAUGCAUCGGAACGUGCCCAGUAGUGGGGGAUAACCAGUCGAAAGACUGGCUAAUACCGCAUACGCCCCAAGGGUGAAAGCGGGGGACCGUAAGGCCUCGCGCUAUUGGAGCGGCCGAUGGCUGAUUAGCUAGUUGGCGGGGUAAGAGCCCACCAAGGCGACGAUCAGUAGCUGGUCUGAGAGGACGACCAGCCACACUGGGACUGAGACACGGCCCAGACUCCUACGGGAGGCAGCAGUGGGGAAUUUUGGACAAUGGGCGCAAGCCUGAUCCAGCCAUGCCGCGUGCGGGAAGAAGGCCUUCGGGUUGUAAACCGCUUUUGGCAGGAACGAAACGGCGCAGGCCAAUACCUUGCGCUAAUGACGGUACCUGCAGAAUAAGCACCGGCUAACUACGUGCCAGCAGCCGCCGUAAGAC